AGAGUUUGAUCCUGGCUCAGAUUGAACGCUGGCGGCAGGCCUAACACAUGCAAGUCGAACGGUAGCACAGAGAGCUUGCUCUUGGGUGACGAGUGGCGGACGGGUGAGUAAUGUAUGGGGAUCUGCCCGAUAGAGGGGGAUAACUACUGGAAACGGUAGCUAAUACCGCAUAAUCUCUAAGGAGCAAAGCAGGGGAACUUCGGUCCUUGCGCUAUCGGAUGAACCCAUAUGGGAUUAGCUAGUUGGUGAGGUAAUGGCUCACCAAGGCGACGAUCCCUAGCUGGUCUGAGAGGAUGAUCAGCCACACUGGGACUGAGACACGACCCAGACUCCUACGGGAGGCAGCAGUGGGGAAUAUUGCACAAUGGGGGAAACCCUGAUGCAGCCAUGCCGCGUGUGUGAAGAAGGCCUUCGGGUUGUAAAGUACUUUCAGCGAGGAGGAAGGCGUUGUGGUUAAUAACCGCAGCGAUUGACGUUACUCGCAGAAGAAGCACCGGCUAACUCCGUGCCAGCAGCCGCGGUAAUAC
rnacentral:rRNA from 1 species